UGAAAAGGGAGCCCUUCGGGGUUCAACCUUAAACCCUUUGACUUAUUACCUGUUUCUUUGGCGGGCUUGCCCGUCAGAAGUUUUCUCAAACCCAUUAUAAACGUGUCGUCUGAAAACAACAUAAAUAAAACAAAACUUUCAACAACGGAUCUCUUGGUUCUGGCAUCGAUGAAGAACGCAGCGAAAUGCGAUAAGUAAUGUGAAUUGCAGAAUUCAGUGAAUCAUCGAAUCUUUGAACGCAUAUUGCGCCCUUUGGCAUUCCGAAGGGCAUACCUGUUCGAGCGUCAUUACACCCCUCAAGUUCAAACUUCUGGUUAACUUGACGUUGGGCCUUGCCUUGGGGCAUGCCUAAAAAUCAGUGAUGGUACGUCAAACCACGGGCGCAUACAUGUCGUCACGUUGGGGCGAUGGCACCAGUCUCGCGAUUAAUUUCUCCAAAUGUUGACCUCGGAUCAGGUAGGGAUACCCGCUGAACUUAAGCAU
rnacentral:rRNA from 1 species